AGAGUUUGAUCCUGGCUCAGGAUGAACGCUGGCGGCGUGCUUAACACAUGCAAGUCGAACGAUGAAGCCCAGCUUGCUGGGUGGAUUAGUGGCGAACGGGUGAGUAACACGUGAGCAACCUGCCCCUGACUCUGGGAUAAGCGCUGGAAACGGCGUCUAAUACUGGAUAUGUCCCAUCACCGCAUGGUGUGUGGGUGGAAAGAUUUUUCGGUUGGGGAUGGGCUCGCGGCCUAUCAGCUUGUUGGUGAGGUAAUGGCUCACCAAGGCGUCGACGGGUAGCCGGCCUGAGAGGGUGACCGGCCACACUGGGACUGAGACACGGCCCAGACUCCUACGGGAGGCAGCAGUGGGGAAUAUUGCACAAUGGGCGCAAGCCUGAUGCAGCAACGCCGCGUGAGGGAUGACGGCCUUCGGGUUGUAAACCUCUUUUAGCAGGGAAGAAGCGAAAGUGACGGUACCUGCAGAAAAAGCACCGGCUAACUACGUGCCAGCAGCCGCGGUAAUACGUAGGGUGCAAGCGUUAUCCGGAAUUAUUGGGCGUAAAGAGCUCGUAGGCGGUUUGUCGCGUCUGCUGUGAAAUCCCGAGGCUCAACCUCGGGCUUGCAGUGGGUACGGGCAGACUAGAGUGCGGUAGGGGAGAUUGGAAUUCCUGGUGUAGCGGUGGAAUGCGCAGAUAUCAGGAGGAACACCGAUGGCGAAGGCAGAUCUCUGGGCCGUAACUGACGCUGAGGAGCGAAAGGGUGGGGAGCAAACAGGAUUAGAUACCCUGGUAGUCG
rnacentral:rRNA from 1 species